AGUCCCCCCAGGAAUGCAGGGAGGGGCGCAGAGGAUGCGGACCCCCCCCAAAAAAAACAGGGGAAGGGGGAGAAGUAGAGAGGAACCCCACAGAAACCUAAAACUGAUGGGAUUUAAACCCAAACUGAUGGGAUUUAAACCCAAACUUGAGGGGAUUUACCCCCAAAUUUGGGCAAUUUUGAGGCGUUUCACCUCAAAAACCCCCCCCCCCCCCCCCCCAAAAAAAAAGAAAAUAACUCCCAUAGCAUAGAGCGGAGGCUCCCUCCGCAAUUAAAGCAUUUUACUGACCAUU